rnacentral:rRNA from 1 species
CCUACGGGUGGCAGCAGUGAGGAAUAUUGGUCAAUGGGCGCAAGCCUGAACCAGCCAAGUCGCGUGAAGGAUGACUGCUCUAUGGGUUGUAAACUUCUUUUAUAAAGGAAUAAAGUGAGGCACGUGUGCCUUUUUGUAUGUACUUUAUGAAUAAGGAUCGGCUAACUCCGUGCCAGCAGCCGCGGUAAUACGGAGGAUCCGAGCGUUAUCCGGCUUUAUUGGGUUUAAAGGGAGCGUAGAUGGGUGGUUAAGUCAGUUGUGAAAGUUUGUGGCUCAACCGUAAAAUUGCAAUUGAUACUGGAAGACUUGAGUACAGUUGAGGUAGGCGGAAUUCGUGGUGUAGCGGUGAAAUGCAUAGAUAUCACGAAGAACUCCGAUUGCGAAGGCAGCCUACUAAACUGUCACUGACAUUGAUGCUCGAAAGUGUGGGGAUCAAACAGGAUUAGAUACCCGUGUAGUC